rnacentral:rRNA from 1 species
AGCGAACGUUUGCGGCGGGCUUAACACAUGCAAGUCGAACGAGAAUCCCUUCGGGGAGGAAAGUGGCGCACGGGUGCGUAACACGUGGAUAACCAACCCAUUGGUUUGGGACAACACCGGGAAACUGGUGCUAAUACCAGAUGUGUCGCAGCUGUCUUCAGGCGGUUGCGAGAAAGGCCCGCAAGGGUCGCCAACGGACGGGUCCGCGUCCCACUCAGCUAGUUGGUUGGAGGUAAAGUUAGGCGUCACCCAAACGGACGAAAGAACGGGUAGGCUGGUCGUGAGAGGAGUGAUCAGCCACCAACUGGAACGUA